rnacentral:pre_miRNA from 1 species
CGGGGUAGGCCGGAUCCUGGCUGUGUCCCGGCGCCCAGUGCUCCGGGUCUGCGCUAUUGGAUUCGCGCUCCCGGCCGGCAGCCCCCU